GUGAGCAACAGAAAAGAUAAAGGGAUCAUGGAGGAGGCAGGAAGGAGGCAAGAGAGGUCAACAAGCUAUAGAAGUACUUCAGUGGAUCAGUCAGUGACUGCAAGUGAAAGUUCUGGGAGUUGUAACACAUAUAUAAAUUAAUGGAACCACCACCUCAAUCAGGAUUCAUAGGCAUCCCAUCAUCUCGAAAAACCAUCAUGCUAUACCUUUGCGGUUAUACUUUUGUCCCACCCCUAAUUUCUGGCAGCCACUCACUUCCAUCUCCAUAGUUUUCUCUUUUUGGUAAUCUGAUAUAAAUAAAAUCAUAUAAUAUGUGA